UAUGUUACUAGAAAUUUGUAUUUUAUUUUUAAAAAGUCAACAAAAUUAAUAUAUAAUUUAUCAUACUAAUUUAAUAUGAACAAUUUUGGUGGAAAAAAUAUAUAAGAAAAUGGAGACACAAAUACAACCCUACUUUCUAAGAUUUAUCACUUACGCUCUAGUCCAAUAUUUUUUUCCCCAAACAUUAACAUUAAUUAUACUAUUUACUUAUGUGAUUUUCAUUUUCUAAUCUAUGUACCUAAUUCAACUAUAAGCAGCCGGACUAUUGAUUCUGUAUAUUAGAUUUUCAGUAUGUUGGGAAAAGUAUAACUAGAUAGAUACAUCAAUAAUUCAUAAUAAUACAAUUUGUCUUUAUUUUAUAACAGUAACUAUUGCCUAAAAUACAUAUUUAAAAUUAAUUACUUAUUUAUAAUUGCAGUAUAAAAUUUUAUUAAGACAUAUCGUUAGAUUAUUGUCUUGAAAACUGAGUAUGCAUCAAGUAUAUUUGGCGGAAGAUAUCAUGAUAUCUUUUUAUCUCAAUCAGACAAUUAGGUUAGUGAUUCUAACUAUGUACUUAUUUAUAUAUUUGCUCCUAUUAUCAUAAAAAUAUUAAUCUUUCUAUUUAGGAGGCAUUUAUUAAUCCUUGAACGAGACUAAAUUAGCAAGCUUUUUAAAUUUCUGGACCAUGUCUAAGUAUAUCCUGAAUGACCAAACCAUCAUAUCACAGUGGAUGGUUGAAAAAACACAGCAUAUAUAAUAUACUUUGUAAUUGUCCCUUUUUCCAAAAUGUUUAUGUUGGCUUUUAUGAAUUUUAAAAUUUAAAAUUUAUUAAUUUUUAUAUAAAUAAAGUUUAAAAUAUUUAUUUACAUACUUGCAAAAUAUUUUGAUUAUACUAAUUUGAUUGAGAUUUACCAAAUAACAAGAUAUUUUUUCGUCCACAAAUUUUACUUCUUCAAAUUUUUUAUUCAACCAGGAAUUUGAUUCAUUUAAUAAAUGAAUCCUCAUGUUUGUAUUUUGUGUACUUAAAUAUAUUUAUUUUUGCCAUAUAUAUGAAUAUACUAAUCUAUUUUGUGUACUUAAUUGUAUCUAUUUUUGACAUAGAUAAAUAUGAAUAUACUAAUCUUUUUAUCUGGUCACCGCCAUUACUCUUACCCUUAGGGUUUGUAUUUAUAUAUACUUAAAUGUACCUCUUCCCUCCUGCGUCAUAAUAUAUGACAUUACCUAAAUCCUAAAUAUAUUUGUAUUUUAUUUUAUAAUAAGAUUUGUAUGUUUUAAUACUAAUAUACACACCAUAUUUAUUAUUUAUAUAUUUAUAAUAAUUUUUAGAAUUCAAAAUAUUAGCCAUAUUUAUUUUUAUUAAGUAAGACUAUAACAUAUAGAUAUACAUAACUAAGAAGUAAUUUUUAUAAAUAAAUUCAUACCAUAAUAUGUGUGUGUAUGUAUGCAGUGGCGUAACUAGAAAUUCAUGUAAGGAGGGGCGUCAUGUAAAUACUCACUCCCUUUAUGCCGGCACGUUCUUUACGUUAUUUUUGUGAACACAUUUUGAGGCUCUUAUAAAGUUAGUUCUAUUAUAUUUUAUUUUAAAAAAAAUUUCCUGAAUAAAAGUUUGAUGUUUAAAAUUUUAUUCAAAAAAAUAAAUAAAUUAGAAAAACGUUAUGAAACUAUACUUUAUAGGAGGACGUAAACUAUAUUGUGGGACGGAAGAAACAUAAUAUUAUAAUGGUCUAACUUUCAUUAAAUGAAAAUUUAUACUACUAAUUAAUCGAUCUUUUUAUAUUUCAUUAUAUUGUUCAUUUUUCACUGAGUGUAUUACAUUUUCUAUUCUAUGUAUUACUUUCAUUUUAUGAGAAUAAUGUAGAGGGCCUGAGUCAAUUUUAUUUUUUAAAACAGCAAACAACAUUAAUCCACAAGAUUAGACCUAUAAAAAAAAUUAUAUUGAGUUAAGCGGGGCAGCGGACCCCAUCCACAAGGCUCCUUCCCCACUGUAUGUGUGUGUUAUCAUACUUGUACAUAUUUUGUUUUAUAGGAUAUAAUUUUAAGUAACUUAUGUAUAAAUAUAUUUCUCAAAAUUUAAAAUACUAGUCAAUUAAAUAUUUUUUUAUGUGUAUAAAAACUAUAUUUAUCAUCAUCACCAUGCUAUAUAGAUAUCUAGAGAAUAUAAAUCCUGAUGGCAAAAACGAGUGCUAAUUACAUUGGUUGUCCCUCUCGGACCUCCUAUUUACAGGACUUGCCACUGCUCAUUAAUGACUGACACAGGAUUUUGAAUUUUAAGCACCCUGUCAACUCUGUCUUCCUCGGCCAUUUUUCUUAUUAACAAGCGACUGUAAUUUACAAUAGCUCAGAUAAAGAUUCAUCGUAUACAAAUCUCUGCUAAAUUUAUUUUUUACUAUUAUUUUAUCCAAUUAACUUUUCUUUCGCAACCUAACAAUAUGUCUGAUUCUGAUUGUGAUGGGUUGGAUUGAUUUUAGUUUUCAUUCAUCUAAGCCAUCUGGCAGCGUCGUACAUUCGCUUCAAGUUGACCGCACCGGGCUUGUUGCUGGCUGUGGCCACUGUUCCGGCGACAAGCAUAGUAGAACUCCUCUUUCCGAUGUUUCCAACAAAUCGUUCUCUGCAUUUCGACAGAAAUCUCCUGCUUCUUCUAAAACAAUCGGGUUAGAUACUGGGCGUAUUUUCUCUGAUGAAAACAGUCCUGUGUCGUUCUACAACUAAGUCAGGUAUAUAACUGUCCCUAUGUCAAUUAGAUUAACUCAUUUUUCCAUUUAUGUCUAAUUCAUGUCUAAUGAUUUGCACGUAAGCUCAAAAAGGGACGAUAUGAUUCUUCACACAGAGGUUUGUCAACGCCCAUGUUUACAAGAUCUGUAACUGAUUCUGUGAUUGUUAACUGAUAGCAGUCUAAGUGUUUGAGUAUUGAACUAAGAGAGUUUUUGAAUGCUUUUUUCAUGUUUUAACCUCCGGCAAUUCGUGUGGUCUAUAUUAUUUUGAUAUUUGAUGAUUUUAAUAAAGUUUUGUUCAGUUAUGGUUCUGAUAUAGAUGGGUAUGUGUGUGUAUUUUGAUAAUUAUGUUUGUCUGUGCUUGUGCAUUAGUCUGCUGAUUUACACAAAAAAAGGUUGUGAAAGGUAUUUCACUCAAGUAUGCGUGAUUCUUGCUGUGUUUGUUGUAAUGGGUAUGUCACAGGUGUUGGAAGAUCUGAUCCAAGAGUCUUUAGUGUUACAGAUAUGUUUCCAGCAGCUACCACUUUGCAGCUGAAGAAGACUUCAAUGAGUUUUUUGGCUUGCCUGGUUGAAUUUUCUUAAAGAAGUGGCCAAAGUAUAUGCCUGAUGUCCAUCUACUAAGAAAGGAAGAUUACCUGCGUGUUGAUUAUGCUCUACAGUACAAUGUCAAGGGAUCUAUAGCGCUUCCUGUAACUGAACGAGGAAAUGGCGCUUGCUUGGGUGUUGUUGAAAUUGUGACAACUGAUGGCGCUUGCUUGGGCGUUGUUGAAAUUGUGACAACUGGUUGUGACGUUAAUUGCCUCCCUGAGGUUGAUGAUGUCUGCAAAGCUCUGGAGGUCUGACUUUCAGUGUUUAAUACACAGAGGCUUACUGAGCUGUAUGAAAAAGAUGUUCGCUUUCUUAUGCUACUGUUGUGGAAUAUACCCGUCUUGACGCGGAUGGAAUCUAUUGGCCAUGUCCGGGAGAUCCAGAAUAUGGUCAGGGAAGCAGACUUACAUUCUCAAAAAGAUCAGGAGAGGAAAGAGUUGAUUGACCUUAGAAAUAGUGCUGACAC